rnacentral:rRNA from 1 species
CAGGCCUAACACAUCCCANGNNCGUCCGGUAACAGGAAGAAAGCUUGCUUUCUUUGCUGACGAGCGGGGACGGAGUGCGUAAUGCCUGGGAAUAUGCCUUGAUGUGGGGGAUAACUAUUGGAAACGAUAGCUAAUACCGCAUAAUGCCUACGGGCCAAAGAGGGGGAUCUUCGGACCUCUCGCGUCAAGAUUAGCCCAGGUGGGAUUAGCUAGUUGGUGAGGUAAUGGCUCACCAAGGCGACGAUCCCUAGCUGGUCUGAGAGGAUGAUCAGCCACACUGGAACUGAGACACGGUCCAGACUCCUACGGGAGGCAGCAGUGGGGAAUAUUGCACAAUGGGCGCAAGCCUGAUGCAGCCAUGCCGCGUGUGUGAAGAAGGCCUUCGGGUUGUAAAGCACUUUCAGUCGUGAGGAAGGUAGUUGCGUUAAUAGCGUAAUUAUUUGACGUUAGCGACAGAAGAAGCACCGGCUAACUCCGUGCCAGCAGCCGCGGUAAUACGGAGGGUGCGAGCGUUAAUCGGAAUUACUGGGCGUAAAGCGCAUGCAGGUGGUUCGUUAAGUCAGAUGUGAAAGCCCGGGGCUCAACCUCGGAAUUGCAUUGAAACUGGCGGACUAGAGUACUGUAGAGGGGGGUAGAAUUUCAGGUGUAGCGGUGAAAUGCGUAAGAUCUGAAGGAAUACCGGUGGCGAAGGCGGCCCCCUGGACAGAUACUGACACUCAAUGCGAAAGCGUGGGGAGCU